GGCAGAACAUAAAGGCUUAAGAUUUUAAUGUACCUGUUAUUUAAAGAUUAUACAUUAGAAACAAUUUGUAGGUUUGAAGAACUUCGUAGACAUUCUAUUAUUGGUCAUAGUUAUGCUAUUUGAUAUUUGAAUGGAGGGAAAAAUGCUUGUGCUACUUGGAAUAGUUGGGUGACAACUAGCACUAGUUUAGUAGCACAACGGC
rnacentral:lncRNA from 1 species